CCUAGGGUGGCUGCAGUGGGGAAUAUUGGACAAUGGGCGAAAGCCUGAUCCAGCCAUGCCGCGUGUGUGAAGAAGGCCUUCGGGUUGUAAAGCACUUUCAGUGGGGAAGAAAGCCUUGGGGCUAAUACCCUCGAGGAAGGACAUCACCCACAGAAGAAGCACCGGCUAACUCCGUGCCAGCAGCCGCGGUAAUACGGAGGGUGCGAGCGUUAAUCGGAAUUACUGGGCGUAAAGCGCGCGUAGGCGGUCUGAUAAGCCGGUUGUGAAAGCCCCGGGCUCAACCUGGGAACGGCAUCCGGAACUGUCAGGCUAGAGUGCAGGAGAGGAAGGUAGAAUUCCCGGUGUAGCGGUGAAAUGCGUAGAGAUCGGGAGGAAUACCAGUGGCGAAGGCGGCCUUCUGGACUGACACUGACGCUGAGGUGCGAAAGCGUGGGUAGCAAACAGGAUUAAUACCCCUGUAGUC
rnacentral:rRNA from 1 species